GAGGGUAUAGCUCAGUGGCAGACCAUAUGCUUAGUAUGCACAAAGUCCUGGGUUCAAUCCCUGGUACCUCCA
rnacentral:tRNA from 1 species